GAUGAAGAACGUAGCGGAAUGCGAUACUUGGUGUGAAUUGCAGAAUCCCGUGAACCAUCGAGUCUUUGAACGCAAGUUGCGCCCGAAGCCAUCAGGUUGAGGGCACGUCUGCCUGGGCGUCACAUAUCGUUGCCCAAUGCCUAUUGCAGUGCAAUAGGAAUUUCUAGGGCGAAUGAUGGCUUCCCGUGAGCGUUGUUGCCUCGCGGUUGGUUGAAAAUCGAGUCCUUGGUAGGGUGUGCCAUGGUAGAUGGUGGUCGAGUUAGAACGAUACCGAUCAUGUGCAUGCUCCCCAAAAUAUGGCCUCUAUGACCCACACGCGUCUUUUGACGCUCAUGACGAGACCUCAGGUCAGGCGGGGCUACCCGCUGAAUUUAAGCAUAUCAAUAAGCGGAGGA
rnacentral:misc_RNA from 1 species